rnacentral:lncRNA from 1 species
GGUUAAAAUCUAAAAGAAAAAAGAAAAAAAAGUCCAACAUUCAGAAUCCCCAAGAUGCAUACGUAAAUCCUAAUAGAAAAUGCUCAGUUCAAGAAGUUCCAUUGAGGUGAAGCAAUGAUGCAAGGCUUUUGGCAACCGUUCCCCAGCUCCCAGCCACACAUCGCUCCACUUACCUUGAGUGACAGCCUCCAAAGAAAAGUUUCCACCGCGCCAGAGUCUUGACCCUGAGUGGCAUCGGCAGGGUCUCCUGCGGCAGACCAGGGGUGUUGCGGGCUGCGCUGGGUGGGGGACCGCGCGCUGCACGUGCAGUGCCGCCCGGACGGCGGCGAAAGGACAGCGGUGCACCCCGCCCGAGGCCCCAGCGAUCCAUCAGGGCGGCUGUACGCGGGAAGACGCUUCAUCUCAUCCCUAGAUGGCAGCAGGAUUCUGAAGCUGGCGCAGCCCUGGGCAGCCCUUUCUGGUCUAUUUUCCUGAACAGAUUGCCAGGGGAUACGGCGGCUAAACAGCCAGGCGCCUCCCCGGAGCGCAGCUCAGACAGAAGAGCAAGCCGGACAGACGCCGCUGGCGAGGCUUCGGGGGUCAGAUCCUGCAGCUUGGACACCACAUUCUCUCUUUUUGCACACAGAUGUGCUACUGUGUAAAAAUAAGCAAACAAACAAAAACGGGAGUUCAGCUUCUUGGAGAAUGUGUCAUGGUCAAGACCAGUGAUUCUGGACGGUGACAAAAGUCCUGGAGGCCUGAGUGCACAGAGGACACACGCACAGAUGCACAUGAACUCAUGGAGAAACACUGGUCUUCUCUGCCAGGGACCAGGCUGGCCAUGCAGGAAGGGAGCAGGAUGUGAAGAUUCAGACUUUAGCUCCAGCUUCACUACCGUCCUGCCGUGCACUUUGGGG